GACGAACGCUGGCGGCGUGCUUAACACAUGCAAGUCGAACGGAAAGGCCCCUUUGGGGGUACUCGAGUGGCGCACGGGUGAGUAACACGUGAGUAACCUGCCCUUGACUUCGGGAUAACUUCAGGAAACUGGGGCUAAUACCGGAUAGGAAUCCUUGCUUCAUGGUGGGGGUUGGAAAGCUUCGGCGGUUUUGGAUGGACUCGCGGCUUAUCAGCUUGUUGGUGGGGUAGUGGCUUACCAAGGCUUUGACGGGUAGCCGGCCUGAGAGGGCGACCGGCCACAUUGGGACUGAGAUACGGCCCAGACUCCUACGGGAGGCAGCAGUGGGGAAUAUUGCACAAUGGGCGGAAGCCUGAUGCAGCAACGCCGCGUGCGGGAUGACGGCCUUCGGGUUGUAAACCGAUUUCAGCAGGGGCGAAGCUUGUGGUGACGGUACCUGCAGAAGAAGCACCGGCUAACUACGUG
rnacentral:rRNA from 1 species